GCCGGGGUGGUGGAAUGGUUUACACGAUGGAUUUAAAAUCCAUUGGGCGCAAGCCCAUGUGGGUUCGACUCCCACUCCCGGCA
rnacentral:tRNA from 1 species